rnacentral:rRNA from 1 species
CAGUAGCCGCGGUAAUACGUAGGGUGCAAGCGUUAAUCGGAAUUACUGGGCAUAAAGCGUGCGCAGGCGGUUAUAUAAGUCAGAUGUGAAAUCCCCGGGCUCAACCUGGGAACUGCAUUUGAGACUGUAUGGCUAGAGUGUGUCAGAGGGGGGUAGAAUUCCACGUGUAGCAGUGAAAUGCGUAGAUAUGUAGAGGAAUACCGAUGGCGAAGGCAGCCCCCUGGGAUAACACUGGCGCUCAUGCACGAAAGCGUGGGGAGCAAACAGGAUUAGAUACCCCAGUAGUCCCUGUCUCUUAUAC